rnacentral:rRNA from 1 species
ACAACGGGUGGAGCCUGCGGUUUAAUUGGACUCAACGCCGGGCAGCUCACCGGAUAAGACAGCUGGAUGAUAGCCGGGCUGAAGACUCUGCUUGACUAGCUGAGAGGAGGUGCAUGGCCGUCGUCAGUCGUACUGUGAAGCAUCCUGUUAAGUCAGGCAACGAGCGAGACCCACGCCCAACAGUUGCCAGCAUGUCCUCCGGGAUGAUGGGGACACUGUUGGGACCGCCUCUGCUAAAGAGGAGGAAGGAAUGGGCAACGGUAGGUCAGCAUGCCCCGAAUUAUCCGGGCUACACGCGGGCUACAAUGGUCAGGACAAUGGGUAUCGACACCGAGAGGUGGAGGCAAUCUCCUAAACCUGUCCUUAGUCCGGAUUGUGGGCUGCAACUCGCCCACAUGAAGCUGGAAUCCGUAGUAAUCGCGUUUCAAAAUAGCGCGGUGAAUAUGUCCCUGCUCCUU